CUGGGCUCGAACGGCUUUGGACCAUCCUUGGAAACAGGGACUUCCAGCAAGGGACCGGAGUCGAGGUGCUGCAUGGCUGUCGUCAGCUCGUGUCGUGAGAUGUUGGGUUAAGUCCCGCAACGAGCGCAACCCUUGUCCUGUGUUGGCAUGCCGCAAGGCGCAACUCGCAGGAGACCGCCAGCGAUAAGCUGGAGGAAGGUGGGGAUGACGUCAAGUCAUCAUGGCCUUUAUGUCCAGGGCCACACACGUGCUACAAUGGGCGGUACAAAGCGCUGCCAACCCGCGAGGGGGAGCUAAUCGCCAAAAACCGUCCUCAGUUCGGAUCGCAGGCUGCAACUCGCCUGCGUGAAGCUGGAAUCGCUAGUAAUGCUAUAUCAGAACGAUAGCGUGAAUACGUUCCC
rnacentral:rRNA from 1 species